rnacentral:lncRNA from 1 species
AGGGAGUCAAACUGCUCCUCUCUGCAAUAUACAUGAUAGAUGCAUGCAGAAUCUAAAAUCCACUGUUAGAAAGAAGUGGAUACCUCACCAGAUAUCUCCAAAGCAUCAUCCUUUGAGUCGCUACUGGCCAUCACUGCAGUGCCCUCAUCCGAUCCCUGAGUUGAGGACAAUCUCUGGCUAGAUGCUUCAACUCGUCACACCGAUAACAUCUGGUCCUGCUCAAGUCUCUCAUCCUGGACUCGG